rnacentral:rRNA from 1 species
AUACGGAGGAUGCGAGCGUUAUCCGGAUUUAUUGGGUUUAAAGGGAGCGUAGGUGGGAUAUUAAGUCAGCUGUGAAAGUUUGGGGCUCAACCUUAAAAUUGCAGUUGAUACUGGUUUCCUUGAGUACGGUACAGGUGGGCGGAAUUCGUGGUGUAGCGGUGAAAUGCUUAGAUAUCACGAAGAACUCCGAUCGCGAAGGCAGCUCACCGGGCCGGAACUGACACUGAUGCUCGGAAGUGCGGGUAUCAAACAGGAUUAGAUACCCUGGUAGUCCGCACAGUAAACGAUGAAUACUCGCUGUUUGCGAUACACGGUAAGCGGCCAAGCGAAAGCGUUAAGUAUUCCACCUGGGGAGUACGCCGGCAACGGUGAAACUUAAAGGAAUUGACGGGG